AGUCGAACGGUACAGAAAGCAGCUUGCUGCUUUGCUGACGAGUGGCGGACGGGUGAGUAAUGUCUGGGAAACUGCCCGAUGGAGGGGGAUAACUACUGGAAACGGUAGCUAAUACCGCAUAACGUCGCAAGACCAAAGAGGGGGACCUUCGGGCCUCUUGCCAUCGGAUGUGCCCAGAUGGGAUUAGCUAGUAGGUGGGGUAAAGGCUCACCUAGGCGACGAUCCCUAGCUGGUCUGAGAGGAUGACCAGCCACACUGGAACUGAGACACGGUCCAGACUCCUACGGGAGGCAGCAGUGGGGAAUAUUGCACAAUGGGCGCAAGCCUGAUGCAGCCAUGCCGCGUGUAUGAAGAAGGCCUUCGGGUUGUAAAGUACUUUCAGCGGGGAGGAAGGGAGUAAAGUUAAUACCUUUGCUCAUUGACGUUACCCGCAGAAGAAGCACCGGCUAACUCCGUGCCAGCAGCCGCGGUAAUACGGAGGGUGCAAGCGUUAAUCGGAAUUACUGGGCGUAAAGCGCACGCAGGCGGUUUGUUAAGUCAGAUGUGAAAUCCCCGGGCUCAACCUGGGAACUGCAUCUGAUACUGGCAAGCUUGAGUCUCGUAGAGGGGGGUAGAAUUCCAGGUGUAGCGGUGAAAUGCGUAGAGAUCUGGAGGAAUACCGGUGGCGAAGGCGGCCCCCUGGACGAAGACUGACGCUCAGGUGCGAAAGCGUGGGGAGCAAACAGGAUUAGAUACCYUGGUAGUCCACGCCGUAAACGAUGUCGACUUGGAGGUUGUGCCCUUGAGGCGUGGCUUCCGGAGCUAACGCGUUAAGUCGACCGCCUGGGGAGUACGGCCGCAAGGUUAAAACUCAAAUGAAUUGACGGGGGCCCGCACAAGCGGUGGAGCAUGUGGUUUAAUUYGAUGCAACGCGAAGAACCUUACCUGGUCUUGACAUCCACGGAAGUUUUCAGAGAUGAGAAUGUGCCUUCGGGAACCGUGAGACAGGUGCUGCAUGGCUGUCGUCAGCUCGUGUUGUGAAAUGUUGGGUUAAGUCCCGCAACGAGCGCAACCCUUAUCCUUUGUUGCCAGCGGUCCGGCCGGGAACUCAAAGGAGACUGCCAGUGAUAAACUGGAGGAAGGUGGGGAUGACGUCAAGUCAUCAUGGCCCUUACGACCAGGGCUACACACGUGCUACAAUGGCGCAUACAAAGAGAAGCGACCUCGCGAGAGCAAGCGGACCUCAUAAAGUGCGUCGUAGUCCGGAUUGGAGUCUGCAACUCGACUCCAUGAAGUCGGAAUCGCUAGUAAUCGUGGAUCAGAAUGCCACGGUGAAUACGUUCCCGGGCCUUGUACACACCGCCCGUCACAUCCAUGGGAGUGGGUUGCAAAAGAAGUAGGUAG
rnacentral:rRNA from 1 species